rnacentral:rRNA from 1 species
CUGGUCAGCUUGCUGACUGGUGAGAGUGGCGAACGGGUGAGUAAUGCGUGACCAACCUGCCCCAUGCUCCAGAAUAGCUCUUGGAAACGGGUGGUAAUGCUGGAUGCUCCAACUUGACGCAUGUCUUGUUGGGAAAGUGUUUAGUGGCAUGGGAUGGGGUCGCGUCCUAUCAGCUUGUAGGCGGGGUAAUGGCCCACCUAGGCUUCGACGGGUAGCCGGCCUGAGAGGGCGGACGGCCACAUUGGGACUGAGAUACGGCCCAGACUCCUACGGGAGGCAGCAGUGGGGAAUAUUGCGCAAUGGGGGGAACCCUGACGCAGCGACGCCGCGUGCGGGAUGAAGGCCUUCGGGUUGUAAACCGCUUUUGAUUGGGAGCAAGCUUUCGGGUGAGUGUACCUUUCGAAUAAGCGCCGGCUAACUACGUGCCAGCAGCCGCGGUAAUACGUAGGGCGCAAGCGUUAUCCGGAAUUAUUGGGCGUAAAGAGCUUGUAGGCGGUUCGUCGCGUCUGGUGUGAAAGCCCAUCGCUUAACGGUGGGUUUGCGCCGGGUACGGGCGGGCUAGAGUGCAGUAGGGGAGACUGGAAUUCCCGGUGUAACGGUGGAAUGUGUAGAUAUCGGGAAGAACACCAAUGGCGAAGGCAGGUCUCUGGGCUGUUACUGACGCUGAGAAGCGAAAGCGUGGGGAGCGAACAGGAUUAGAUACCCUGGUAGUCCACGCCGUAAACGGUGGACGCUGGAUGUGNGGCCCAUUCCACGGGUUCCGUGUCGGANCUAACGCGUUAAGCGUCCCGCCUGGGGAGUACGGCCGCAAGGCUAAAACUCAAAGAAAUUGACGGGGGCCCGCACAAGCGGCGGANCAUGCGGAUUAAUUCGAUGCAACGCGAANAACCUUACCUGGGCUUGACAUGUGCCUGUCGACUGCAGA